CUACGGGUGGCACCAGUGAGGAAUAUUGCACAAUGGGGGGAACCCUGAUGCAGCAACGCCGCGUGGAGGAUGACGCAUUUCGGUGUGUAAACUCCUUUUAUAUGUCAAGAAAAUGACGGUAGCAUAUGAAUAAGCACCGGCUAACUCCGUGCCAGCAGCCGCGGUAAUAAGGGGGGUGCAAGCGUUACUCGGAAUCACUGGGCGUAAAGGACGCGUAGGCGGGUUGGAAAGUCAGGUGUGAAAUCCUACAGCUUAACUGUAGAACUGCACUUGAAACUUCUAAUCUAGAGUAUGGGAGGGGGAGAUGGAAUUAGUGGUGUAGGGGUAAAAUCCGUAGAUAUCACUAGGAAUACCUAAAGCGAAGGCGAUCUCCUGGAACAUUACUGACGCUAAGGCGUGAAAGCGUGGGGAGCAAACAGGAUUAGAUACCCCCGUAGUC
rnacentral:rRNA from 1 species